rnacentral:rRNA from 1 species
AUUGCAGAAUUCAGUGAAUCAUCGGAUCUUUGAACGCACCUUGCACCCUUUGGUAUUCCGAAGGGUACGCCCGUUUGGGUGUCAUU